rnacentral:rRNA from 1 species
UACAGAGGGUGCGAGCGUUGUCCGGAAUCACUGGGCGUAAAGGGCGCGUAGGUGGUGGCUUAAGCGUGCGGUGAAAGCUCGGGGCUCAACUCCGAGUCGGCCGUGCGAACUGGGCUCACUGGAGCAUAGUAGAGGCAGGUGGAAUUCCGGGUGUAGCGGUGGAAUGCGUAGAGAUCCGGAAGAACACCGGUGGCGAAGGCAGGUCUCUGGGCCACUACUGACGCUGAGAGCGAAAGCAUGGGGAGCGAACAGG